rnacentral:rRNA from 1 species
UCGGACUUAGCGGCGGACGGGUGAGUAACGCGUAGGAAUGUACCCCAAAGUGAGGGAUAACUGCUCGAAAGAGUAGCUAAUACCGCAUGUGAUCUACGGAUUAAAGCUUUAUGCGCUUUGGGAACAGCCUGCGUCCGAUUAGCUAGUUGGUAGUGUAAUGGACUACCAAGGCGACGAUCGGUAGCUGGUCUGAGAGGAUGAUCAGCCAGACUGGGACUGAGACACGGCCCAGACUCC